CGAAUCGCAUGGCCUUGCGCCGGCGAUGGUUCAUUCAAAUUUCUGCCCUAUCAACUUUCGAUGGUAGGAUAGUGGCCUACCAUGGUGGCAACGGGUAACGGGGAAUUAGGGUUCGAUUCCGGAGAGGGAGCCUGAGAAACGGCUACCACAUCCAAGGAAGGCAGCAGGCGCGCAAAUUACCCAAUCCCGAUACGGGGAGGUAGUGACAAUAAAUACUGAUACAGGGCUCUUUUGGGUCUUGUAAUUGGAAUGAGAACAAUCUAAAUCCCUUAACGAGGAACAAUUGGAGGGCAAGUCUGGUGCCAGCAGCCGCGGUAAUUCCAGCUCCAAUAGCGUAUAUUAAAGUUGUUGCAGUUAAAAAGCUCGUAGUUGAACCUUGGGCCCGUCCUGCCGGUCCGCCUCACCGCGAGUACUGGUCCGGAUGGGCCUUUCUUUCUGGGGAAUCCCAUGGCCUUCACUGGCUGUGGCGGGGAACCAGGACUUUUACUGUGAAAAAAUUAGAGUGUUCAAAGCAGGCCUUUGCUCGGAUACAUUAGCAUGGAAUAAUAGAAUAGGACGUGCGGUUCUAUUUUGUUGGUUUCUAGGACCGCCGUAAUGAUUAAUAGGGAUAGUCGGGGGCGUCAGUAUUCAGCUGUCAGAGGUGAAAUUCUUGGAUUUGCUGAAGACUAACUACUGCGAAAGCAUUCGCCAAGGAUGUUUUCAUUAAUCAGGGAACGAAAGUUAGGGGGAUCGAAGACGAUUCAGAUACCGUCGUAGUCUUAACCAUAAACUAUGCC
rnacentral:rRNA from 1 species